rnacentral:rRNA from 1 species
UACAGAGGUCUCAAGCGUUGUUCGGAUUCAUUGGGCGUAAAGGGUGCGUAGGUGGCGGGGUAAGUCAGGUGUGAAAUCUCGAGGCUCAACCUCGAAACUGCACUUGAUACUGCCUUGCUCGAGUACUGGAGAGGAGAUUGGAAUUUACGGUGUAGCAGUGAAAAUGCGUAGAUAUCGUAAGGAAGACCAGUGGCGAAGGCGAAUCUCUGGACAGUUACUGACACUGAGGCACGAAGGCCAGGGGGAGCAAACGGG